rnacentral:tRNA from 1 species
GGGGCUAUAGCUCAGCUGGGAGAGCGCUUGCAUGGCAUGCAAGAGGAGCGGUUCGAUCCCGCUUAGCUCCACCA